rnacentral:rRNA from 1 species
UACGAAGGGGGCUAGCGUUGCUCGGAAUCACUGGGCGUAAAGGGUGCGUAGGCGGCUUACCAAGUCAGGCGUGAAAUUCCCGGGCUCAACCUGGGGGCUGCGCUUGAUACUGGUGAGCUUGAAUGCGGGAGAGGAUAGUGGAAUUCCCAGUGUAGAGGUGAAAUUCGUAGAUAUUGGGAAGAACACCGGUGGCGAAGGCGGCUAUCUGGCCCGUAAUUGACGCUGAGGCGCGAAAGCGUGGGGAGCAAACAGGAUUAGAAACCC